rnacentral:rRNA from 1 species
UAGGGAAUAUUGGACAAUGGGGGCAACCCUGAUCCAGCCAUGCCGCGUGAGUGAAGAAGGCCCUCGGGUUGUAAAGCUCUUUUGUCCGGAAAGAAAAGCAUUCGGUGAAUACCCGGAUGUUCUGACGGUACCGGAAGAAUAAGCACCGGCUAACUUCGUGCCAGCAGCCGCGGUAAUACGAAGGGUGCAAGCGUUACUCGGAAUUACUGGGCGUAAAGCGUGCGUAGGUGGUUGUUUAAGUCUGAUGUGAAAGCCCUGGGCUCAACCUGGGAAUGGCAUUGGAAACUGGGCAGCUAGAGUGCGGUAGAGGGUAGUGGAAUUCCCGGUGUAGCAGUGAAAUGCGUAGAGAUCGGGAGGAACAUCUGGGGCGAAGGCGACUGCCUGGACCAGCACUGACACUGAGGCACGAAAGCGUGGGGAGCAAACA